rnacentral:rRNA from 1 species
GAAUAUUGGACAAUGGGGGCAACCCUGAUCCAGCCAUGCCGCGUGUGUGAAGAAGGCCUUCGGGUUGUAAAGCACUUUAAGUUGGGAGGAAGGCUAUUUGGCGAAUACCCAAGUAGAUUGACGUUACCAACAGAAUAAGCACCGGCUAACUCCGUGCCAGCAGCCGCGGUAAUACGGAGGGUGCAAGCGUUAAUCGGAAUUACUGGGCGUAAAGAGCGCGUAGGCGGCCAUUUAAGCUAGAUGUGAAAGCCCCGGGCUUAACCUGGGAAUUGCAUUUAGAACUGGAUGGCUAGAGUAUGGGAGAGGAGUGUGGAAUUUCAGGUGUAGCGGUGAAAUGCGUAGAGAUCUGAAGGAACAUCAGUGGCGAAGGCGACACUCUGGCCCAAUACUGACGCUGAGGUGCGAAAGCGUGGGGAUCAAAC